ACCAAGACCUAAGACAUAAGACCUAAGACCUAAGAUCCCCCGGAGUACAAAACUAAGACCCAGGUACAAAACUAAGAUCCCCCGAGGUACAAAACUAAGACCCGGGGAGGCCAAUUCCAAACUAAAAUUUUGAAGAAAAAUAUCAGAGUCUUAGUUUUGUACAAAACUAAGACCCAAUUCCAAACUGAAAUUUUGAAGAAAAAUAUCAGAGUCUUAGUUUUGUACAUCAGGGGAUCUUAGUUUUGUACGUACAAAACUAAGAUCCCCCGAGGUACAAAACUAAGACCCAAUUCCAAACUGAAAUUUUGAAGAAAAAUAUCAGAGUCUUAGUUUUGUACAUCAGGGGAUCUUAGUUUCCAAAUUCUGCCCCUCUUUCGAAUUCAUUUUGAUGUAGUAAUGUCACCUUUGAGAUGCAUGCAGUUGCUCCAUCUGAAUAAUACCUCCAUAUGCACUAUGCAGGCACGACCGGUCAUCACUCUAGCAUAUACUCUAGCAUAUACGGCCUCCAUCCAGCUCCACAAAAAGUGGCGAAACCGGUGCAAUAUGCCAGUAGCACGUGGAUCAUGCCGAGCGGCGCUGUCAGGUGUUUCCACUAUGGGUUACAUAAUCGGCUACAAAGAGGCCAGUGUUCUAGUAAAUGAAGUUAGCAAUGAUAGCGAAGAAUGUUAGUGUAUGUUACGAAGUCAA